rnacentral:rRNA from 1 species
GACAGAGGGUGCAAACGUUGCUCGGAAUUACUGGGCGUAAAGCGCGUGUAGGUGGAUUGGUGUGUCAGAUGUGAAAUCCCUGGGCUCAACCCAGGAACUGCACCUGAAACUACCAGUCUUGAGUGGUGGAGAGGGAAGUGGAAUUCCUGGUGUAGAGGUGAAAUGCGUAGAUAUCUGGAGGAACACCGGUGGCGAAGGCGGCAUCCUGGACCGGCAUUGACGCUGAGGCGCGAAAGCUAGGGGAGCAAACGGG